GCGGCAUUGGCUUGAGGGGGCUAAACAUCCUUUCCUCAUUUGGACUGACCACCGCAAUCUGGAGUACAUCUGGGCGGCGAGGAGACUGAACCCUCGUCAGGCAAGUGCCACGUCCGUCUCUUCCGGAUGCACAUCUCUAUCCCUUGCUCUCCACUUUGAAAAUGACCAUUUCCACUUGCUUCUACUGAAGGACCUGAGCCCUAGGACCAUGCCUCAGGACCACCUGGCAUGAUGACUCCUUGCUGUCCCCAGUCCACCUGGCCGUGCUGCUGCUCCAGUUUCAACUGUUCUGCCUGUGAUUAUUAUUAUUUGACCAUGCUGGUCAUUUAUGAACAUUUGAACAUCUUGGCCAUGUUCUGUUAUAAUCUCCACCCAGCACAGCCAGAAGAGGACUGGCUACCCCACAUAGCCUGGUUCCUCUCUAGGUUUCUUCCUAGGUUUUGGCCUUUCUAGGGAGUUUUUCC
ensembl:lncRNA